rnacentral:rRNA from 1 species
AUGUCAUCUCGUAGUCAAGUGCUUCAAAGUUACAAGUUUUCCGCUACCAUGGUUCGCAUUCAGUAUGAAUCCUCCGUUCGAGUUUUUCGCACGAAUUCGGCUGGCAAGUACCUAUCUUGUGAGCUUCGUGGUUUUCUUGCAGAACAGGGCACCCUUCCUCAGUAUUCCUAUCCAGGCGCCCAUGCUCGAAAUGGGGUGGCUGAACGCAAACAUCGCCACAUCCUUGAGACUAUCUUCUGUUGCCCCCCCCCCCCCACACACACACACACUUUUGGGCUGAAGCUGUCUCUAAUGUUGUUUAUAUCAUUAAUAUUCAGUUUUCUGCUCUCAGGGGGAUACCGGUUGAUCAUCUAG